GCAGGAAGCUAAUGGAAGUUUACCGGAGAGUUCCAGGACGCGGGUGUCUUUUGUUUUAUUUCAGAGGCAAGCUGUGACUCCUCCCUUCACAAAAUUUUCCAUUGUUAAGUCGCCACGUGGAAAAUAACCUGGUCCCUUUCAUCUGCGAGCGGAUUCCAUUGCACGUAACGUUUGUUGGUAGCUCGAGUUUAAUUCCCGAGCAGUGCAACAGCCGCAUAUCGUCUCGACUUUGCGAAAGGAAACAGCGACAGAGGAAGAGACACUGUGAAAUUUUGGAAGAAACUGCACAUCAAAGGAGACAUUUUAUGUUAUCAAAGAAGACAAAUGGCUCCCAAUAUGAAGCAACCAAUGAAUUUAGAACGAACGGCCGAAGCUGACUUUACAUCGUACCCGAAGGAAGGCAUGAAAAUUGCUCUACUUACGGAACCCCGGUAUGCUUGGAAACAGACGCGUGUCAAAGUCUUUGGUUCCGGAUCGGUGAGAAUGGAUCUUUUCACCGACAAGCUGGCCUACAAACCAGGUGAGGGACUCCAAGUCCGAGUUAAAGUCAACAACCAAUCAGCUCGUGCAGUGACGCCCAAGUACAUAUUGUACCGAACGCAAAGUCGGAUUUUCCCGGGCGGGAGGACUACCGGCUCGUUUCCGAUCCUCGAGAGAAACGGCAAACCUGUUCAGGUCCACCGCAAGGAGACCACGACCACCGUGAUCCCCAUCCCAAGAGGGAUACCGCCCACCAUCUCGAUUGAGUCACCCAUUGAAAUUCAGUACAACUUGAAGAACGACGUCGGAGCACGUGAACAGCGUCACAGAUCAGUGGAUGAUGCGGUCAGUGUGACGCUGACGUUAUCUUGGAACACAUCAACGGGGCGGGGAGUUCCACCAGGAUCCUGCUCGUGGCCUCUAACAUUCCACGCAAUCAUCCCAAAAACUCUUCUUCCCCUGGCCUCUUGACGGGCUGCACGCAGCAAGUGCGAGACAGGACAAUACCACCUGACCCGCGUGUUCGUGAUGAUGAGUCUGCACGUCGAUGCCGUGUCGAGCGGACGGGUAGCAAAACCUGGAGCUGAACGCGUUCAGAAAUGUAACCUUGCAAGUUCCUCCAAAGCGCAACCUCUCAGGAUCUGAAAUGGAAGUCAAGUCAGGAAUGAGGAAAUGUGAGGUUGUUCAAACCUGUUCAACAAAAUGGGGUCUGUCUGAAUACGAGCGGCUCAAGCGUCACAUACUUCACGCUGCCGAUACUCGUCCUACCCGACAGUAUACAUUCUGCCAAACGACAACAACAAUUGUUAGAAGCUUUGACUUUGGAAGUUGCUGUACAUCCAAAUCCAAAGCAGCAAAUCCCGAAGGCAGGAAAACGAUCACAAAAAGCCCGAUCCAUGGACAUCCCUCCUCAUUACUAAGAUCAUCCAAAUUGCUUUUUGUCGCUUACCUUCUGCACGGGAUUGACAUAAUGGCAGGAUAUUGCACCCAAGGAUAUCGUAAAAAAAGCUGUGUCAAAGUUGCUCACACGUGGCAAUUGUUGGUCGCUGAUUCAAUUCAGUGUGUAUACAAACAAAUACACUGUGACACAAUAGCUGUAUAUAGAUAUAUGUACUAUAGUUCUAUAUUUAUGUUUGUAUUUUAAUACUGAAUGUUGAUACAUUUUUAUUUUUGAGUUGUCAUUUUAAUGAGACCUAUAUCAGGCGCAUUGUUUGCUUUAAAGAAGUAAAUGAACCAACUGACUAAAAAAUUGGUUGGGGGGGCUGAUGGUUGUUUAUCUGUAAGGUAUUUUAGUUAAAAAAAUAUGUAUGGGGGGGGGGGCAACUUAGCAUUGACAAUGACCCCAGCACAUUGUUGAGGCCAGUGUGCACAACCUAAAGCAGUGUUUCUCAAAAUGUGGUACUAGUAGCAUUACCAGUAUGUGGAUGAAUUACUGCCUAAGUACAGUUCAACUUUUAAGUGGAAUAUUUGGUCAUUUCAUCUUAAUAAUCAUUUUUUAACCUCUAUUUAUGUACAUUUUUAUUUAACUUUUAACUUUCACGCAAUACAUUUGACUUGAAGCAUUAUUUAAGAGCAGCUUUUUAUUUUUCUAAAUUUACCCGUGGUAUACAGUUUUUAGGAAUAAUACCCGGGUGUUUUUCUUUUUUGUCUGUUUGUUUUUGUGUUCUGCUCUACUGUAUUUGAAUAUUAGUCAUGAUGGUGGAAAUUGGAGAGCGACAUAUUGUUUAAAGUGGUACUUUGUGGGGGAAAAAAAAAAGUUUUAUGACCAGUGCGUUGACAAAUGGCACAUACAGCUGCAUAAUGUGUUGGACAACCUGAAAUAAAUACAAUUUGAAUAUCCAUA